rnacentral:rRNA from 1 species
UACGUAGGGGGCAAGCGUUGUUCGGAAUUACUGGGCGUAAAGGGCGCGUAGGCGGCACGACAAGUCGGAAGUGAAAGCCCGGGGCUCAACCCCGGAAUGUCUUUCGAAACUGUCGAGCUAGAGUGCAGAAGAGGCAACUGGAAUUCCCAGUGUAGCGGUGAAAUGCGUAGAUAUUGGGAAGAACACCUGAGGCGAAGGCGGGUUGCUGGGCUGACACUGACGCUGAGGCGCGAAGGCCAGGGGAGCAAACGGG